CUUAUCACUCCGGAGGGAUGUGGAAAUGCUCUUAUUUAAACGUUCCACGGGGGCUGCGAGGCAAUUCCUCCAAACGUGAUUUCGGAGGCAGGGAAUUCGCCCACUGGAAUCAAAAGAGAAGCCUUGUUAUUUAUCGUAAUUAUUCAACAACGCAACGUGAUCUGGAGCCUGCCUGCCUGGCCAGGUCGCCAAUGGCCAGACUCGCGAGCAGUUAUGACCAGCUCUGGCCACAAAUUUUUGCUUUGACUUGCGACCAGAACUUUGAGUUACAACCAAAAAAAGGCAGGGAAAAAAGGCGGGGAAUUCAAAUUGCUAACCAUUGGUGGUGAAAAGCCUGCUUCUUUGUAGCUCUGUUGCCCCAGAGGUUAGAGAGUGUGCGUUCAGAGGAGGCUUCGGACUGCCUGGUAAGGUGCUGCUUUCUACUUUUUAAAAACUGGCCAUUCUGGGUGGGUUUUGCAGCGUGGGUUUGGGCUGGGUGCUGGGGUUAUGUUUCUAUGUUGUGCACCGCACACCCCACCCCACCUCUGCCUUGCCCGCCCGCCCGCCUUCAAGGCAAGCCAGCCGGAGCUGCUCCCUGCAGAGGACGACACCGGCGCCUUCCUUGCCCCAGAGCUUCCAUGGGCAUCUUUGGGGCAGCCGCCUGGGCAAGAAGGCGCGCCGUCUAAAGUCACCCUCGUGGACUGCCCGGAGGGACGGGCGAGAGGGAAGCCGCCUCAGCAGCUGACAGAGGGCAAAGUUCUGAAAAGAAAAGAAAAGAUCGGAAAUGUUGAGAAGCACUCAUUUAGAAAGCCUCUUGAAUAAUGUAAGCCGAACCUGAAUUCCAGCCAGU
rnacentral:lncRNA from 1 species